rnacentral:rRNA from 1 species
CAAGUAAUUAAGUGCAUGUGGUGGAUGCCUUGGCAGUCAGAGGCGAUGAAAGACGUGAUAGCCUGCGAAAAGCUCCGGGGAGGCGGCAAAUAUCCUUUGAUCCGGAGAUGUCUGAAUGGGGGAACCCACCUACUUUAAGGUAGGUAUUGCAACAUGAAUACAUAGUGUUGCAAGGCGAACGAGGGGAAGUGAAACAUCUCAGUACCCUUAGGAAAAGAAAUCAAUUGAGAUUCCCUCAGUAGCGGCGAGCGAACGGGGAUCAGCCCAUUAAGUUAUGUGUGUUUUAGUGGAACGCUCUGGGAAGUGCGAACGUAGAGGGUGAUAUUCCCGUACACGAAAGGGCACACAUAAUGAUGACGAGUAGGGCGAGGCACGUGAAACCUUGUCUGAAUAUGGGGGGACCAUCCUCCAAGGCUAAAUACUCCUGACUGACCGAUAGUGAACCAGUACCGUGAGGGAAAGGCGAAAAGAACCCCUGUGAGGGGAGUGAAAUAGAUCCUGAAACCGCAUGCAUACAAGCAGUGGGAGCACCUUCGUGGUGUGACUGCGUACCUUUUGUAUAAUGGGUCAGCGACUUAUAUUCAGUAGCGAGGUUAACCGUAUAGGGGAGCCGUAGAGAAAUCGAGUCUUAAUAGGGCGUUUAGUUGCUGGGUAUAGACCCGAAACCAGGCGAUCUAUCCAUGAGCAGGUUGAAGGUUGGGUAACACUAACUGGAGGACCGAACCCACUGUCGUUGAAAAGCCAGGGGAUGACUUGUGGAUAGGGGUGAAAGGCUAAUCAAGCCUGGUGAUAGCUGGUUCUCCCCGAAAGCUAUUUAGGUAGCGCCUCGGACGAAUACCAUAGGGGGUAGAGCACUGUUUCGGCUAGGGGGUCAUCCCGACUUACCAAACCGAUGCAAACUCCGAAUACCUAUGAGUACUAUCCGGGAGACAGACUGCGGGUGCUAACGUCCGUAGUCAAGAGGAAAACAAUCCAGACCGCCAGCUAAGGCCCCAAAAUCAUAGUUAAGUGGGAAACGAUGUGGGAAGGCAUAGACAGCUAGGAGGUUGGCUUAGAAGCAGCCACCCUUUAAAGAAAGCGUAAUAGCUCACUAGUCGAGUCGGCCUGCGCGGAAGAUGUAACGGGGCUAAAACUAUGUGCCGAAGCUGCGGAUGUAUACUUUGUAUACGUGGUAGGGGAGCGUUCUGUAAGCCGAUGAAGGUGUGUUGAGAAGCAUGCUGGAGGUAUCAGAAGUGCGAAUGCUGACGUGAGUAACGACAAAACGGGUGAAAAACCCGUUCGCCGAAAGACCAAGGGUUCCAGUCCAACGUUAAUCGGGGCUGGGUGAGUCGACCCCUAAGGCGAGGCCGAAAGGCGUAGUCGAUGGGAAAAUGGUUAAUAUUCCAUUACUUCUGUGUAAUGCGAUGAGAGGACGGAGAAGGCUAAAUCAGCCUGGCGUUGGUUGUCCAGGUGAAAGGAUGUAGGCAUGUAUCUUAGGCAAAUCCGGGGUACUCUAUGCUGAGAUCUGAUAGCAAGCUGUACUUGUACAGCGAAGUGGUUGAUGCCAUGCUUCCAGGAAAAGUCUCUAAGCUUCAGUUACACAGGAAUCGUACCCGAAACCGACACAGGUGGUCAGGUCGAGUAGACCAAGGCGCUUGAGAGAACUCUGCUGAAGGAACUAGGCAAAAUGGUACCGUAACUUCGGGAGAAGGUACGCUGUUGUUGGUGAUGGAACUCGCUUCCUGAGCUGACGACAGCCGCAGAAACCAGGCCGCUGCAACUGUUUAUUAAAAACAUAGCACUCUGCAAACACGAAAGUGGACGUAUAGGGUGUGAUGCCUGCCCGGUGCUGGAAGGUUAAUUGAUGGGGUUAGCGUAAGCGAAGCUCUUGAUCGAAGCCCCAGUAAACGGCGGCCGUAACUAUAACGGUCCUAAGGUAGCGAAAUUCCUUGUCGGGUAAGUUCCGACCUGCACGAAUGGCAUAAUGAUGGCGGCGCUGUCUCCAGCAGAGGCUCAGUGAAAUCGAAAUCGCUGUGAAGAUGCAGUGUACCCGCGGCUAGACGGAAAGACCCCGUGAACCUUUACUGCAGCUUGACACUGAACUUUGACCUUACUUGUGUAGGAUAGGUGGGAGGCUUUGAAGCUGGAACGCUAGUUCCAGUGGAGCCGUCCUUGAAAUACCACCCUGGUAAUGUUGAGGUUCUAACUCUGUCCCGUGAUCCGGGACGAGGACCGUGUCUGGUGGGUAGUUUGACUGGGGCGGUCUCCUCCUAAAGAGUAACGGAGGAGUACGAAGGUGCGCUCAGCGUGGUCGGAAAUCACGCGUAGAGUAUAAAGGCAAAAGCGCGCUUAACUGCGAGACCCACAAGUCGAGCAGGUACGAAAGUAGGUCUUAGUGAUCCGGUGGUUCUGUAUGGAAGGGCCAUCGCUCAACGGAUAAAAGGUACUCUGGGGAUAACAGGCUGAUACCGCCCAAGAGUUCAUAUCGACGGCGGUGUUUGGCACCUCGAUGUCGGCUCAUCUCAUCCUGGGGGUGAAGCAGGUCCCAAGGGUAUGGCUGUUCGCCAUUUAAAGAGGUACGCGAGCUGGGUUUAGAACGUCGUGAGACAGUUCGGUCCCUAUCUACCGUGGGCGCUGGAAAUUUGAGAGGAUCUGCUCCUAGUACGAGAGGACCAGAGUGGACGAACCUCUGGUGUACCGGUUGUGACGCCAGUCGCAUCGCCGGGUAGCUAUGUUCGGAAGGGAUAACCGCUGAAAGCAUCUAAGCGGGAAGCCUACCUCAAGAUAAGAUUUCCCUAGGACUUUAUGUCCUCUAAAGAGCCGUUCGAGACUAGGACGUUGAUAGGUUGGAUGUGGAAGCAUAGUGAUAUGUGAAGCUGACCAAUACUAAUUGCUCGUGAGGCUUGACUA